CGAAAGGGCACACAUAAUGAUGACGAGUAGGGCGAGGCACGUGAAACCUUGUCUGAAUAUGGGGGGACCAUCCUCCAAGGCUAAAUACUCCUGACUGACCGAUAGUGAACCAGUACCGUGAGGGAAAGGCGAAAAGAACCCCUGUGAGGGGAGUGAAAUAGAUCCUGAAACCGCAUGCAUACAAGCAGUGGGAGCACCUUCGUGGUGUGACUGCGUACCUUUUGUAUAAUGGGUCAGCGACUUAUAUUCAGUAGCGAGGUUAACCGUAUAGGGGAGCCGUAGAGAAAUCGAGUCUUAAUAGGGCGUUUAGUUGCUGGGUAUAGACCCGAAACCAGGCGAUCUAUCCAUGAGCAGGUUGAAGGUUGGGUAACACUAACUGGAGGACCGAACCCACUGUCGUUGAAAAGCCAGGGGAUGACUUGUGGAUAGGGGUGAAAGGCUAAUCAAGCCUGGUGAUAGCUGGUUCUCCCCGAAAGCUAUUUAGGUAGCGCCUCGGACGAAUACCAUAGGGGGUAGAGCACUGUUUCGGCUAGGGGGUCAUCCCGACUUACCAAACCGAUGCAAACUCCGAAUACCUAUGAGUACUAUCCGGGAGACAGACUGCGGGUGCUAACGUCCGUAGUCAAGAGGAAAACAAUCCAGACCGCCAGCUAAGGCCCCAAAAUCAUAGUUAAGUGGGAAACGAUGUGGGAAGGCAUAGACAGCUAGGAGGUUGGCUUAGAAGCAGCCACCCUUUAAAGAAAGCGUAAUAGCUCACUAGUCGAGUCGGCCUGCGCGGAAGAUGUAACGGGGCUAAAACUAUGUGCCGAAGCUGCGGAUGUAUACUUUGUAUACGUGGUAGGGGAGCGUUCUGUAAGCCGAUGAAGGUGUGUUGAGAAGCAUGCUGGAGGUAUCAGAAGUGCGAAUGCUGACGUGAGUAACGACAAAACGGGUGAAAAACCCGUUCGCCGAAAGACCAAGGGUUCCAGUCCAACGUUAAUCGGGGCUGGGUGAGUCGACCCCUAAGGCGAGGCCGAAAGGCGUAGUCGAUGGGAAAAUGGUUAAUAUUCCAUUACUUCUGUGUAAUGCGAUGAGAGGACGGAGAAGGCUAAAUCAGCCUGGCGUUGGUUGUCCAGGUGAAAGGAUGUAGGCAUGUAUCUUAGGCAAAUCCGGGGUACUCUAUGCUGAGAUCUGAUAGCAAGCUGUACUUGUACAGCGAAGUGGUUGAUGCCAUGCUUCCAGGAAAAGUCUCUAAGCUUCAGUUACACAGGAAUCGUACCCGAAACCGACACAGGUGGUCAGGUCGAGUAGACCAAGGCGCUUGAGAGAACUCUGCUGAAGGAACUAGGCAAAAUGGUACCGUAACUUCGGGAGAAGGUACGCUGUUGUUGGUGAUGGAACUCGCUUCCUGAGCUGACGACAGCCGCAGAAACCAGGCCGCUGCAACUGUUUAUUAAAAACAUAGCACUCUGCAAACACGAAAGUGGACGUAUAGGGUGUGAUGCCUGCCCGGUGCUGGAAGGUUAAUUGAUGGGGUUAGCGUAAGCGAAGCUCUUGAUCGAAGCCCCAGUAAACGGCGGCCGUAACUAUAACGGUCCUAAGGUAGCGAAAUUCCUUGUCGGGUAAGUUCCGACCUGCACGAAUGGCAUAAUGAUGGCGGCGCUGUCUCCAGCAGAGGCUCAGUGAAAUCGAAAUCGCUGUGAAGAUGCAGUGUACCCGCGGCUAGACGGAAAGACCCCGUGAACCUUUACUGCAGCUUGACACUGAACUUUGACCUUACUUGUGUAGGAUAGGUGGGAGGCUUUGAAGCUGGAACGCUAGUUCCAGUGGAGCCGUCCUUGAAAUACCACCCUGGUAAUGUUGAGGUUCUAACUCUGUCCCGUGAUCCGGGA
rnacentral:rRNA from 1 species